CUUGGAUGGGAACUUUUAAUCUCUCUUGAGUAGCAUUAAAACCCUCACUGUUGAUUUUUCAUGAGAAGAUUUUUCAGUUUUAAAGCUUUUAUUUUGGAAGUUCUAUCCUUUUUUGCAGGGUGCGUUCUCUCUUACAAAUACAUUUUUUUAACAUCAUUGUGUUGAAAAAAAAAAACAAACCAGCACCUUUAAAGCCCACCUACUAAAUAACUUAAAAAUUUUGUGCUGGGCCACACAGUGAGCUAAUCUCAGAUAUGAGGUAAAUGACUUUCUCUUGUAUGUCAAAUUUUAUAUUCAUACAUCAUUCUUGCCUGCAUGCACUGGGUAAUAUUUGAUUUCCUUGAACUUUAAAUGGCGAGUGUUAACCUUGAAAUGACCUCAAAUCAGCAAUACACACUUGUUUUAUCAAAUAAGUGAGGAAACUAUUCAAGCAACUAUUCAAUUAAAUUAAAUUCUGACAACCUCAGAGCAGACAAAGUUUGUCCCCAUGUUGGGAACCACCACAGUUAUUUGGAUACUUGGAAUAUUAAGAUUAUGCAGGGAAUAAUAAAGCAGUAUUGUAUCUGUAAAUCUUUAGUUCCAGUGUUUGUACUUUUGGAUACUCUGCCUGUUUAGGAAUACUUAACCCUCGAUCUUUAAAAACACACAUGUCCACACACAUCAAACAGAAAUGGCCGUCACAGUCUGGGCUUUUGUGCAAUAAAGAGAGAGAGGGGGAACAGGAAGGAAAUUUAUGAUUUAUGAUUCAAUAGAAAAGACAGGGGAAAUUUAUGGUAGAAAGGGACUGCUGGAGGAGAAAGAGAGAGAAAGGGUGUGGUGAUCAUGUAACAACAGAGCGGAGAAGAGGGAAGUAAAAGUUGAGUACCUUUUUGUGUGUGUAACUGAAGAGUCAGUGUUAGAAUAACUGGAGUGUUUUUUUUCACUGUGUACUCCUUUGACAAUUUAUUUGGGUGAUCUCCAAAAUAAGACAUUUCACAUCCAACCAUUUUUCCUUGGACACCCUUGGUUCCCUUACAACAGAGAGAAAACCACAUUUGAAAUUCCGAAUCCAAAUAUUUGACCUGUUCAGGUUUCAAAAUGCAUUUCUCAUGGGCGUUUGUGAGGUUUAGGUUCUCAGGGUUACUUGGGGUGGUCAUGACCAUCCCUCAGAUCUAAAUGGCCAGCCCUGAGGCCACCCUGAAACCCUAUACCAUGUUUGUCUAUUUGCCGUAUCAGAGGAAACACAUAUUGAGAUCAGCCAUUGUGGUUGUGUCUAACAAGAUGAUGGUCACUGCUUUACAUUUCAGAGUGGAACAUUUUUCUUUGUUGGCACUUUAAACAGUGACUUUAGACACACUUCCUUUUUAAGGAUUUAAGUUCAGCAGAUUUAGAUAUUGUUGCAUUGUUAAAUUAUAUUUUUGAGUUGAAAUGUUUAAAAUUAAGACAUAUUUUGGAGUCUUUUCUAUAUUAGAAACUAAAGUAAAUGUGAUUCCUGCAUGGAGAUAACCCUCCUAGAUUUGGGGCAAGCCCCUAAUAUUAACCACAACUGUCCCUCCUCUUAAAAGUCAGCUCCUGUUUGGCCAACCUGGCCAAAAGCGUCUGUCUCCUGAUUAUUGAAGACACUUAAGGACACAUCUGGUGAUCUUGAGCCCUUGUUUCAUGACCCCAUCUCCUCCACAGUAUUCAAUAUAAAUGUUGUAUCCAGCUAAAACAAAGCAAAAUAUGGAACACACAGAAAGUCUGCUGCAGCCACUACUUUGAGUGAUAUGGAGGAAAGUUCAAGACCAAGCAGUCCAGGAUGGUCAGUGUUUUCAAAUGUAGUCAACUCUCAGUGAUAUUUUCAGUAUUCCUUUCAGCUUCCUCUGCUGUUAAUGGAAUUUUUACCUUAGAAAAGACCCCUUAAAAAAGAAAGUGUUGUGCGAGGAAAUGAAAUAAAAUUACUCCUAAAUUAUAUCAAAUGCAUAUUUUCCCCUUCUUUGUUGCUACUUUGACACAGAUGCCAUUUAAUAGCUGUUGACAAAAAACUUACAAACCUUUGACUUUUACAAAACUGACUUACUAACAAGCCCAUGCACAAGUUAUCAGUAUAGCUGUGACUGAGUUUAAAUUCAUAAUCAUCAAAUAUGAAGAAUAAAAAAGCCAGACAUUAUGGGUCUAUAGGGUUCUGCAUUUCUUACACAAGAACAAAAAACUCACCGCUGUGCUUUUAAGCAAAAAUUCCCGUUCUGCUGUAAAUAGUAUGUCCCUGAUCCCAGCUACAUUAAUUUAGAUUUACAGCACAAUAAAAAGUUUUGACACUGCACUGCUGCCACAAAAUGAUGGUAUGACCUACCACUGCCCUCCAUUGUAAAUUUAAGGUAAUGCAACCUCUUUACUGCUGACCAAGGGAAUCUCCUCUUUUAAGCAAACAUGUCAUAUACAAUCAUAUGAUAAUAAAUCUAGCAAACAUUAGCCAUGACGAAUGUUAAAGUUUUGCAUUUCUUUUGGAAAUUAAGGUCCAAGAGUCUGGAGCAAGAGAGGAAAGGCACAGAAUCCAAGUUGCUUGUAAAGUUUCUCCAGUCAGUGUUGGUUUUGGGAGCCAUGUCAUCUGCUGGUGUUGGUCCACUGUGUUUUAUCAGCUCAAAGGUCAGCGCAGCCAUCUACCAGGGAGUUUUAGAGCACUUUAUGUUUCCCUCUGCUCACCAGCUUUAUGGAGAUACUGAUUUCUGCCAAAAGUAUCAAUACCUGGUUUAAGGACCAUGGCUUCCCUGCGAUUCAUUGGCCAACAGAUUCACCUGAUCUGAACUCCAUAGAGAAUCAAUGGGUGACAGCGAAGAGGAAGAUGUGAGACACCGGACCAGAAGAGG
rnacentral:lncRNA from 1 species